rnacentral:rRNA from 1 species
UACGUAGGUGGCAAGCGUUGUCCGGAUUUACUGGGCGUAAAGAGCGCGCAGGCGGUCGUUCAAGUCGCGUGUGAAAGCCCCCGGCUCAACUGGGGAGGGUCACGCGAUACUGAUCGACUCGAAGGCAGGAGAGGGUAGUGGAAUUCCCGGUGUAGUGGUGAAAUGCGUAGAUAUUGGGAGGAACACCAGUGGCGAAGGCGGCUCACUGGACCGGUACUGACGCUGAGGCGCGAAAGCGUGGGGAGCAAACGGG